AGGGCCGUUCCCCUGCUCAACC
rnacentral:miRNA from 1 species